GAAACGGCUGUUAAUACCGCAUAUGCACACGCUGCCGCAUGGCAGAGGGUGGAAAGAUUUAUCGGUGCAGGAUGGGCCCGCGUCGGAUUAACUAGUUGGCAGGGUAACGGCCUACCAAGGUUAUGAUCCGUAGCCGACCUGAGAGGGUGACCGGCCACAUUGGGACUGAGACACGGCCCAAACUCCUACGGGAGGCAGCAGUGGGGGAUAUUGCACAAGGGGCGGAAGCCUGAUGCAGCGACGCCGCGUGAAGGA
rnacentral:rRNA from 1 species